rnacentral:rRNA from 1 species
UGGGGAAUAUUGGACAAUGGGCGAAAGCCUGAUCCAGCCAUGCCGCGUGUGUGAAGAAGGUCUUCGGAUUGUAAAGCACUUUAAGUUGGGAGGAAGGGCAUUAACCUAAUACGUUAGUGUUUUGACGUUACCGACAGAAUAAGCACCGGCUAACUCUGUGCCAGCAGCCGCGGUAAUACAGAGGGUGCAAGCGUUAAUCGGAAUUACUGGGCGUAAAGCGCGCGUAGGUGGUUUGUUAAGUUGGAUGUGAAAUCCCCGGGCUCAACCUGGGAACUGCAUUCAAAACUGACUGACUAGAGUAUGGUAGAGGGUGGUGGAAUUCCUGUGUAGCGGUGAAAUGCGUAGAUAUAGGAAGGAACACCAGUGGCGAAGGCGACCACCUGGACUAAUACUGACACUGAGGUGCGAAAGCGUGGGGAGCAAACA